CAAUAAAGACAAGACCAAAGUUUCUUGUUCUAUAAGUUACCUUAACCAAUUACCAAAAGAAAUGAAUGAAAAUGCUAAUAGAUGUCAAAAAUGACACUUUGAACCACUUUCUAAAGUAGUGGAAAGUUUUAACUUUUCAGUAAAAUCUGGAAAUAUUCAAGGUACUUAGCUGUAAGCACCAAGGAUCCGGAGGUAUUCAGGCACACAUAAAAUCAGCUAGACAGAGUCAGACCAAACUUUUAUUUCAAGCUUUGAACCCGCUUGCUGACAAGAUCACAAAUGCAGAGGUGAAGGUGACUACUUUUCUACUGUAUCACGACAUACCACUCGCUAUAGCUGAUCAUCUGUCCCCAUUCCAGAAGAACAUAUUUCCUGAGAGUAAAAUUGCUGAGAAGUUUUAGACCGCCAGAACUAAAAUGACAUGUGUGAUUAAUGGAGCAUUAGCUACCGAAUGCUGGAAAACUAUUGUGAAUCAUAUGCAGUCAAACCCAUUUUUUACUGUCAACAGAUGGAUCAAAUGACAAUGGCCUUGAAAAAAUUAAUCGCCCUCACAGUGAGAGUAUUUAACAUACAGAAACGUGUUGUGAUAUCACAAUUAAUAGACAUGUGCCUGCAUUGUGGUAAAGAUGCUAGAAGGGCAGCAUCGAUAUCGAAAUUUAAGAAGAUUGAUGAAGUUAUGGAAGCUAAUGGCAUAUCGUGUAAAAAUUGUCUUGGAUUUUUAGUGGACAUCACCAACACCAACCUUGUAAAACACAACUCUAUAAAAUCACAUGCUAUGCAAAAAAAACCCAAAAUGUAUUCCAUGGGGUGCCCAUGUCAUAUUGUUCACAACACAGAAGAAAUGGGC